rnacentral:lncRNA from 10 species
CAAUUAAUAUUACUAUUAGUAGUUAUACUAAUAAUGGCUACCUAUUAUUGAGUGCUUACUAUAUGCUAGUGACCAAAGCACUUAGAUUUAAAAUUUCAUUGACCCCUAUGAGAUGGUUCCAUUCCUGGGUGAGGAAACCAAGGCUAAGAAAAUAGACUGAACAAUUCGACAAGGCUGGGAGUUUAUAUAACUAGUAAAUAACAAACCUUGGAAUUUAAAUCCAAAUCUGUCUAAUUUCAAAGUUCCUGGUUUGUGUUUAGGUCUUUCUAACUGACAGAUUUAGUCUUCAGGUCUAUGGAAGAAAAAUAACUUUGCCUUGGGAAGUCCUUUUCCCUAGCUCUGAUGGACCAACUCUGGAGAGGGGCUUCGCUUAAAUUGUAAAUAAUGUGUCCAUGAUCACUGUUUUGAGAACAAGGCACCAGUUUUGUGCAUCAGACAGAUUGCAUGUUGCUGCUCCUCACAUUUAGACCAUUCAUUAUCUGUUAGCCCUUACAUAGGGAAACCAUCUGUAAUUUUUUUUUUUUUUUUUUUUUUUCCGAGAUGGAGUUUUGCUCUUGUUACCUGGGCUGGAGUGCAAUGGCG